rnacentral:rRNA from 1 species
GAUGAACGCUGGCGGCGUGCCUAAUACAUGCAAGUCGAGCGAACAGACGAGGAGCUUGCUCCUCUGACGUUAGCGGCGGACGGGUGAGUAACACGUGGAUAACCUACCUAUAAGACUGGGAUAACUUCGGGAAACCGGAGCUAAUACCGGAUAACAUGUUGAACCGCAUGGUUUAACAGUGAAAGACGGUCUUGCUGUCACUUAUAGAUGGAUCCGCGCCGCAUUAGCUAGUUGGUAAGGUAACGGCUUACCUAGGCAACGAUGCGUAGCCGACCUGAGAGGGUGAUCGGCCACACUGGAACUGAGACACGGUCCAGACUCCUACGGGAGGCAGCAGUAGGGAAUCUUUCGCAAUGGGCGAAAGCCUGACGGAGCAACGCCGCGUGAGUGAAGAAGGUCUUCGGAUCGUAAAACUCUGUUAUUAGGGAAGAACAAAUGUGUAAGUAACUAUGCACGUCUUGACGGUACCUAAUCAGAAAGCCACGGCUAACUACGUG